UUCCGGUUGAUCCCGCCGGACCCGACUGCUAUCAGAGUGGGACUAAGCCAUGCGAGUCAACAUAGCAAUAUGUGGCAUACGGCUCAGUAACACGUAGUCAACAUGCCCAGGGGACGUGGAUAACCUCGGGAAACUGAGGAUAAACCACGAUAGGUCAUCACUUCUGGAAUGGGUAAUGACUUAAAUCUAUAUGGCCCCUGGAUUGGACUGCGGCCGAUCAGGCUGUUGGUGAGGUAAUGGCCCACCAAACCUGUAACCGGUACGGGCUCUGAGAGGAGGAGCCCGGAGAUGGGCACUGAGACAAGGGCCCAGGCCCUAUGGGGCGCAGCAGGCGCGAAACCUCUGCAAUAGGCGAAAGCUUGACAGGGUUACUCUGAGUGAUUUCCGUUAAGGAGAUCUUUUGGCAUCUCUAAAAAUGGUGCAGAAUAAGGGGUGGGCAAGUCUGGUGUCAGCCGCCGCGGUAAUACCAGCACCCCGAGUGGUCGGGACGUUUAUUGGGCCUAAAGCAUCCGUAGCCGGUUCUACAAGUCUUCCGUUAAAUCCACCUGCUUAACAGAUGGGCUGCGGAAGAUACUAUAGAGCUAGGAGGCGGGAGAGGCAAGCGGUACUCGAUGGGUAGGGGUAAAAUCCGUUGAUCCAUUGAAGACCACCAGUGGCGAAGGCGGCUUGCCAGAACGCGCUCGACGGUGAGGGAUGAAAGCUGGGGGAGCAAACCGGAUUAGAUACCCGGGUAGUCCCAGCUGUAAACGAUGCAGACUCGGUGAUGAGUUGGCUUAUUGCUAACUCAGUGCCGCAGGGAAGCCGUUAAGUUUGCCGCCUGGGGAGUACGGUCGCAAGACUGAAACUUAAAGGAAUUGGCGGGGGAGCACCACAAGGGGUGAAGCCUGCGGUUCAAUUGGAUUCAACGCCGGG
rnacentral:rRNA from 1 species